ACAUGGUGAGGGAGGGAUCUGACAGAGAU
rnacentral:piRNA from 1 species